rnacentral:rRNA from 1 species
UACAGAGGUGGCAAGCGUUGUUCGGAAUUACUGGGCGUAAAGGGCGCGUAGGCGGCCCGAUAAGUCCGCCGUGAAAGUCCAGGGCUCAACCCUGGAAUGCCGGUGGAAACUGUCGGGCUAGAGUCCGGAAGAGGCGAGUGGAAUUCCUGGUGUAGCGGUGAAAUGCGCAGAUAUCAGGAGGAACACCAAUGGCGAAGGCAGCUCGCUGGGACGGUACUGACGCUGAGACGCGAAAGCGUGGGGAGCAAACAGG